UCCGAAAAUGGACUAAAACGUCAUAGAUUAGUAUGUCGUCCGAAAAUUGACUAAAACGUCAUAGGUUAGUAUGUCGUCCGAAAUAUCACCAAAACAUCAUAGUUUAGUAUGUCGUCCGAAAAUGGACAAAAACAUCAUAGGUUAGUAUGUCGUCCGAAAAUGGACAAAAACGUCAUAGGUUAGUAUGUUGUCCGAAAAUGGACUAAAACGUCAUAGUUUAGUAUGUCGUCCGAAAAUGGACAAAAACGUCAUAGUUUAGUAUGUCGUCCAAAAUGGACAAAAACGUCAUAGGUUAGUAUGUCAUCCAAAAAUUUAAUAAAACGUCAUAGGUUAGUAUGUCGUCCGAAAAUGGACAAAAACGUCAUAGGUUAGUAUGUCGUCCGAAAAUUGACAAAAACGUCAUAGGUUAGUAUGUCGUCCGAAAAUGGACUAAAACGUCAUAGGUUAGUAUGUUGUCCGAAUAUUGACAAAAAUG
ensembl:lncRNA